rfam:Melipona quadrifasciata isolate 0111107301 unplaced genomic scaffold scaffold105, whole genome shotgun sequence.
GUCAGGAUGGCCGAGCGGUCUAAGGCGCCAGACUCAAGGUAUUCACCUUCUCAGUUCAAAACUGAGUUUCGAGCGUUCUGGUCCUCUCUGAGGGCGUGGGUUCGAAUCCCACUUCUGACA